rnacentral:sRNA from 1 species
UGCGUUCCGUGUCCAGGCAGGUGCAGGCGCCGCGGGGCCGGAUCCUCCGCGCGGCCGAGUCCAUCUCCUGGGAAAUGGGGCGGACAGUGUUUCCUUGACCGACUAUUGUGAGCGCCCUCUCUCUCCGGCGGAGCGGAGACCAUGGCCCCCACUCAGGGCCCCCGGGCCCCGCUGGAAUUCGGAGGGCCCCUGGGCGCCGCGGCUCUGCUACUGCUGCUGCCCGCCACCAUGUUCCACCUGCUCCUGGCGGCCCGUUCGGGCCCCGCGCGCCUGCUGGGUCCACCCGCGUCCCUGCCCGGGCUGGAGGCGCUGUGGAGCCCACGGGCGCUGCUGCUGUGGCUCGCCUGGCUCGGCCUGCAGGCGGCGCUCCUUUGUGUGCCUCUGUUACGCCCAGGACAGACGCCGGGGGCUCUCCCUAAGCCCCUCGUCCCCACAGCCUUACCCCAUUUACUGCUACUCCGUGCACCACAGCAGUGGCUGGGGUGA